GCAGAAAUAUUGUUCUACUAAUAAGUUUGAUUAUUAAGGUACAGCUGUUUGGAUUGCAACACAGUUCCAUUCAAUACAAUUAAUUAAUUUGGGAAAAAAGAGUUGUUGAGUUUGAUUAUAUAUAGACAACAGAAGUGACACUCAUGCUGCCAAUUACAGUGCUCCCAAACUUACCUGCAUUCAGGUAGUAACAUUUAUAUGUGGACUUUAGUACAAUGAUACUAGGGAGGAGGGGAGAUAAAGAUGUUUAUGUGUAGCACUGACUAACAGGACCAUCCCAGAAGCAAUGCGAAAUGAAAAGGCAGAUGAGAACAAUGAACUGCCUCCAAGUGCUUACACAGCGUCCUUAAAAUUUCUCUCCAUUCUUGAGGAGAUCCACAUGGAUAGUUUGCAUAAUCUCCACAUCCGUCGUCUCCGAAUGGACCCACCCCAAUAUAUGGGGAUAAUCCUCCAUCAACCGACCAUAUCCCCUUGGUGCGAUUUCCUCUAAAAGGGGUUCAUAAAGAUCAGACAUCAUCUAUGGAUAUUAUCAUCAUGUCACUAUGUUGUUCAUGCUCGUUGCCUGAUAUCUAUUCUUGCAAGGAAAGAACACAAGUAUAUCAAAUUACUUAAGUGGGGUUUGGUUCACCAUAUAGAAAUUUGAUGUAAUGCAAUAGUCUACGUAAUGCAAUAGAGUUGUAAUGGUAAUAGGUCAUUACGACAUAUUUGUUUGGUUGGUUCUUGAUAUUUGUGUAGUAAUUGUAAUAUUAUUACAUUAUGUUCAAAAUUGUGU
rnacentral:lncRNA from 1 species